rnacentral:hammerhead_ribozyme from 1 species
AUCUUGCUGACGAGUCCGAAAUAGGAUGAAACGCGCAUUCUGGAU